UAUUGGCAACGUUGAUGAUAGGUGAACUUUUUGCACGUUUUGAACCCAAAAUCCCAGCUCGAUCCGAUCCAAUCCACUGGCCCUGUUGAUGCUUGAUGGUGGAUUCCGUGGAUUUAGUCAUGGGGUUUGUGCACGGUGUAAGUGGGUUUGGGCGUGGUUUAGGUCCAUGCGUGAUGUGCCUGAUGUGCGGUGUAUGAGUGCUCCUUGCUUUUCCGUGUUGUAGCACAAAUGCCACCCGUGCGUUAUCAUGCACGGGUGUCGUUAAGCUGGUCAAGCCACCAAUCGCAUCACAUGUGGUGCACGACCCUUUGUUCUAUCGAAGUUCUAUCCAGUUACAAGACCUCUUACUUAGAACAGACAGAAAAUUAAAUGUAGAAGUUUUCUCAACGAGUGCCAAAGGCUUUCGGAAGCAACAGCAACUAGGGCCACAUUCGGAGGGCAAUGUCUCAGAUGUGAUUGACAACUCGUUACUGCUUUGGACAGGAGGUCACCCAUCAGCCCAGUCAACUUUUGGCAGCUUGAGUGCUCUGCAGUGUCUCUGUCAACAGUGUGGUAGCAGCGGAUCGGAUUUGGCUUGGACUGACGACUGCUUCCAAUGAUAGAGGGGGCGGCGCUGGCCACGAAGACAGCCAGAACUGGUUCUCUUCCUCAGGGAUGCAGCCUGGCUGGGAUGCACACCAGUGCCGCUUUUGCCCCUACUCCUCUUACAACAAGGGUGACAUCGCCCAUCACGAGAAGACUCACACAAAGGAUCAACCCUUCAGCUGCUCACUCUGCCCAAAAGCGUUCACGCAGAAGAAAAAUCUGCAGCGUCACGAAAGAGCUCACACCGGCGAAAAGCCGUUUCAGUGCCGGAUUUGCAAGAGGGUGUUUGCACGGAUGGCUCACUUGUCGGGUCACCUGAAGGUCCACCUGAAGGUCCACACGGGAGAAGGGGUGUUCAGCUGCGGCGUCUGUGGGAUGACGUUUAAGUACCGUUGCAACCUGUUGUGCCACGAAAGAACCCACGCGGAAGAACGGCCUUUCAAGUGAGACGUCUGCGGGAUGGCGUUUGUUCGUGUAAGCUCCUUAGCAUUGGAUCAGCCACUCACGGGAGAAUACCGAAAUCCUGUAAGCGACCGCUUCAAAAAAAGAAUUGUUCAGUUUUGGGCAAGUUACUCGCAGUAAGUAAGUUGGUACAGUUACUUUCAGAGCUGGGGAGAUUGGUGGCCAAGUGGGCUAGUGCACACCAGCUCGGAGCAUGUGGAGUGAAAGCUCGCGCUGCAGAACCCAGGGAUCCUGGGUUCAAUCCCC